GAUGAACGCUGGCGGCGUGCCUAAUACAUGCAAGUCGAGCGAACGGACGAGAAGCUUGCUUUUCUGAUGUUAGCGGCGGACGGGUGAGUAACACGUGGAUAACCUACCUAUAAGACUGGGAUAACUUCGGGAAACCGGAGCUAAUACCGGAUAAUAUUUUGAACCGCAUGGUUCAAAAGUGAAAGACGGUCUUGCUGUCACUUAUAGAUGGAUCCGCGCUGCAUUAGCUAGUUGGUAAGGUAACGGCUUACCAAGGCAACGAUGCAUAGCCGACCUGAGAGGGGUAACGGCCCACUGGGACCUGGACCCCGGUCCAGACCCCUAGGGGGGGCAGCAGUAGGGAAUCUUCCGCAAUGGGCGAAAGCCUGGCGGAGCAACGCCGGGGGGGUGAUGAAGGUCUUCGGAUUGUAAAACUUUUUUUUUAGGAAAAAAAAUAUGUGAAAGUAACUGGGCAACUUUUGAGGGUACCUAAUCAGAAAGCCCCGGCUAACCACGU
rnacentral:rRNA from 1 species